CAGACCCAGGCUGACACCACACUCCCAGCAUGCACCUCGCCUUCUCUGCAACUCUUAUUUCAUCAGGAACCUUGGGCUACAACUCUCACUGCAACAUCUCCCUAUGCCUUGGAGAGCCUCUUGAUUUGUUAGGAGAGCCUGUCUCCUUUUGGAGUUGAGAUGAGAUUGACAGGUAAGCACUGGUGCCUAAGAGGAGAAGCAGAAUAGAACCAAAGAGCUUCCUGACUGCGAAGAUUAGACUCCUAAAGGACUUGAACUCUGAAGGCCUUGUGCAUCUCUCGCUCGGACCCUGCAUUCAAGAGAUCCAAGGACAUCUUCAGACAGGGCUGAAGUGAUUUCCCUCGUGAGGCAAGCCUGAAACAAGCAAGACCGUGUGCUGCUAUGAAGUGGAGGAUGGAGCUUACCAGUGAGAGUUUUUUAAGUGGAAACAUCUUAUCUUCCGCCCACCAUUUUAACCCCAAGGAGCAAUGCUGCCAGGGAUGGCAACCUUCUUGGUUUGUUUGAAGAAGAGGAAGGCAGCCAAGCCUUCCACAGCCACUCUGUGCUCCAGGUACAGAGCUCUAGAGAUUUGUCGUAUUAAAUACUUUUCAAUCCACUGCACCGCCAAGCCCCCUGUGUGACCACAGUGAAUAAAGUCUCUGAAGAUCUAGAAGGCCAAAGGCAAGCGUGGGAGCAUGAGAUGGAUGCCGAGUGAAAGUCAGAACAUGUAUCCAGACUCUGGUAGUUCACUGGAAAUCAUUCUGAAACCUGCUUGCUCUUCCCUCUCACGUAGAUAUGAGAUACACACACACAUACACAUACUUACAUUUGCACACGAAAACACAAGUACAAGUAUAUAUUUUCAUUUUCACAAAAAUAUACAGGCACAUACAUAUGUAUUUACAAAGACACAUCCACACACAAAUAUACAUAGACAUAUGUGUAUACACAAACACAUAUACACAUCAUAUUCAUAUGCAUAUACAAACAUACAUAUACACACAUAUAGAUGAAUAUAUAUUCAUAUGUAUAUAUAUAUUAAUAUAUAUGCAAACAGUAAACAUAUACUGACAGACAC